UAAAUGCAAUUAGGUUGUGAUGCGUAGAGCUGAUCUCAGAACUUGGUUUUCAAUCACAAUAGCCUCUCUUUAGGCAACUCACUCCUAGUCCUAUUCUCUGCACAUGUGGGAAUUAUAAUGAGCACCAAGCAGAAUGAAUGAAAAUAAAUCCAGACCAAGAACCACUGAUGAAACUGCAACCCACAAGAGAAAACUAGCCAGAGUAUCUGCACAGGAAGGACAGGGAGACUUCUCUUUAUAAUAACAGAACCCAGAAGACGACCUACAAGGUUCUGCCCACAGGGGAGAUUGUGACCUAUUGCUGGCCCCAACACCAAAUCGAAGUUACACGUUUGCCUUGGCCUUGUCCUGAGAAGGUGCUGUGACAUAUUGCUGGGCCCAGCACCAAGCACCCUGGCGCAGAAUGCAAUGUGCUCCUAACCCCACGCUGUCUGCUCAGCCCACUGAGGACAACAGGAAUGAAAGCCUGGACUCUGCCAGUCACUGGGCAGGUGCAGAGAAUGCUGUUGGGGCAAUCCUGGCAUGGGUUGCUGCCUUCUAGAACCUGUGUGUGGAUUCAGAUGUCACUGUCUCUCAGGAUUUUGGCAGGAGAGCUAAUUAUGAUACAAGAUACACAAAGAGAAAGCAUACCUCUCUUUUCACAGCCAAGCACAAGGCUGCAAUGUACAAGGGAUGCAGAGAUCUGACCACU